UACGUAGGGGGCAAGCGUUGUCCGAAGUUACUGGGCGUAAAGCGCGCGUAGGCGGUCAUUUAAGUCUGGGGUGAAAGGUUCAACGCUCAACGUGAACAGUGCCUUGGAUACUGGGUGACUUGAGUUCGGGAGGGGGCAGUGGAAUUCCAGGUGUAGCGGUGAAAUGCGUAGAUAUCUGGAGGAACACCGAUGGCGAAGGCAGCUGCCUGGCCCAGAACUGACGCUGAGGUGCGAAAGCGUGGGGAGCGAACGGG
rnacentral:rRNA from 1 species